rnacentral:lncRNA from 1 species
CGGUGACAGCAAAUAGUUGUAGAUUUCUAAAGCAAACUGUGGAGCAAAUUGCAACAUAUGGAAUGACACUUCACAACAAUUUGAAUGGUAAUGAAGCAGAAAUAAUCGGUUAACAAUAGGACAGUAAAGCGCCACUAAAUUAAGACCGAUUGGUGGGGAGAUUUAAGCCAAAUAGCAGCAGAUUUUUGAACAUGUUCAAUUGGCAACUGGAGGCUGAUUUGGACAACAAAGUGCAGCCAUUUUGGAACAUCAAAUGGUGGCCAAUAGCAGCUUGAUUUAGAAGUGAGGCAGUACCUAGUUCAGCAGCAAAAUAGCGGCCUAGAUUGAAUGGCAGUUGAUCAGCAUAAUAAAUCAAAAGCAGGGGCCGAAAUAAGAAGAAACAAAACUAGAACCUGGCAAUUGAAGCUAUUGGAGCAUAAACAAUCAGCAACAAACCUAGAUAAACUUGAAGCUUGAAUCGGCCAAUUGAAACUCUAUAAUUUGGAGCAGUUGGUGCAAAAACGAAAGAGUAAUUUGGCAGCAGGCAUUCGCAAAAUUGGCAAGAAAAUGGACUGCCAAGGGAAGAUAAAGGAGAAAAUUUGUGGUUAAGGAC